rnacentral:lncRNA from 10 species
UGAGAUGGAGUCUUGCUCUGUCACCAAGGCUGGAGUGCUGUGGUGUGAUCUCGGCUCACUGCAACCUCCACCCGCUGGAAAAAUUGAACUGAAUUCUGUCUUAACCAACUUCCAGGGCAUGGCCAAAGUCAUCUGUAGCAGAGUAUCCCCAUGGACUGGGUUUGGGACUGUAACUUAGUGCCUGGAAACAUUGGUACCAAGCUGAGGCUCUUAUGGUUCCAUUGUUCGUGGUCUUGAGACUUGGCCUUCAUAAACACAGCUCAGCAAAGGCGUCGUUAUUGGGCAGGCCACUGCAAACUUGCCCAAAUCUGUGGAAGCACCUGGUGAAUCCCGAGCACUCUCUAAGCAGAGUGAGAAGAACCCUGAAGCCACAUUUUUGAAGUGUCUCUUAUGAGCGUUGAAGAUGGGGGCAUCUGCUGAGCUUAUGCAGGAGGCUGUUUGCUUAUUUGAGGGCUGAAGUUUGUAUGAAGACUGGCGGUGCGUGUGUAUCACCAGUCGUAGCCGAAGCAACUUGGGGAGGCUUUUCACGGUUGUUCAAGCUGUUUAUAACAGCUGUGUAUCCACAGGUGACACUAGUGCUUGGAGCAGCAGAGGAGCCAUGCUUGGGCAGCAGCUGCUUUGUAAUCCAUGCACUGAAAUUCUGUCCCCUGUGCUGGGUGGGGAUGCUCUCUGUGGUGUCAUUGAACUCAGUGUGUGUUGUUGCUGUUUGCAAUGUGCUCAAUGGCUCAGAUGCAAUGAUGGAUGCUUCCAGGAGAGGCAACAUGAGUCCUUGAAUCAUACAAAUUCAUAUUCCACAGCCUCAUGAAGUCAUCUCUGCUGAAUCAGGUUUCUCCCUGACAUGGAGGGUGUGGCCACACAGCAUCUGACAGCAUGGAGAGAGCAAUCAGACUAAUUUCUUAUUAUGUUCUAACAAUAUAAAAAAUCCAAACUGCAUAAUUGAGGCAAAUAAUAAAUCUUUCUGGACCAUGA